rnacentral:rRNA from 1 species
AUACGGAGGAUCCGAGCGUUAUCCGGAUUUAUUGGGUUUAAAGGGUGCGCAGGCGGCCAUUUAAGUCAGCGGUUAAAUCAUGGGGCUCAACCCCAUUCUGCCGUUGAUACUGGGUGGCUUGAUUGCGGUCGAGGUUGGCGGAAUUCGUUGUGUAGCGGUGAAAUGCAUAGAUAUGACGAAGAACACCGAUUGCGUAGGCAGCUGACCAGACCGCAAAUGACGCUCAUGCACGAAAGUGCGGUGAUCGAACAGGAUUAGAUACCCUGGUAGUCCGCACAGUAAACGAUGAAUACUUGUUUUCGGCGAUAUAAUGUCGGAGGCAAAGCGAAAGCGAUAAGUAUUCCACCUGGGGAGUACGCCGGCAACGGUGAUACUCAAAUGAAUUGACGGGG